AGUGGCUCUCCCCUCCAGGCGCCCUAAGUGGAAGCUCUCUUCUCUGCACGUUCACAAGAGAACCUGAGUCGGUUCUCCUGGGUUAGGCUAAGAAUUUGCUGGAGAAAAACUGCGGGAAGUUCGCAUCUCCCCUGGGUCUGUCAGGGUGAGGUCCCAAGGCCUGGGCUCCCGCUGACAGGAGGUUGCAUUUGAUCUGACAAGGGAUGUUUGGAGAAGGCAGGAAACUGAAGACGAUGCUGCUGCGAAGACUCCUCUCUGCUUCUGGAGAGGAGGCCUCUGAUGUCCUGAUAGCCACCAGAAUUCCAAGUCUCCGGGACACUUGCUGGCUCAGUUAUCCUGCAUCUGGCUUCCAGGAGUUCCAGGUCUCUGACACCACUUCUGUUGGGGCCCACAGAGAUGGCUCACUUUAUCUUGACUUAAGGUCAGGGAGUUCAAACCCCUAUUGUUCUUUCAAGGUUACCUUGACAACAGGGUAUUUGGCCCAAGAAGAAACUAAUUGAUGUCUUACUUUAACAAGAGGAUAUUUAGCCUAAAGUGUGGCUACUGUCCAUCUUGCCCUGACAACAGCAUACUUGGUUUAGGGUGUGAUUGCUUGAUGUUGUGUGUAUUGAGAAGGUAAUUAUGCUUGCUUGUUCUUUGUAUCUUGGCAAGGAAGUCUCUGCCUUCCCCCACUUUUGAUUGGGGUAUAUAAAGACUGUGUGUAAUAAAGUUGGGGCUUUUCCCCCAGUAUUCACCGGA